rnacentral:rRNA from 1 species
GACCGGCGCACGGGUGCGUAACGCGUAUGCAAUCUACCUUUUACAGAGGGAUAGCCCAGAGAAAUUUGGAUUAAUACCUCAUAGUAUUAUUGAAUGGCAUCAUUUAAUAAUUAAAGUCACAACGGUAAAAGAUGAGCAUGCGUCCCAUUAGCUAGUUGGUAAGGUAAUGGCUUACCAAGGCAACGAUGGGUAGGGGUCCUGAGAGGGAGAUCCCCCACACUGGUACUGAGACACGGACCAGACUCCUACGGGAGGCAGCAGUGAGGAAUAUUGGUCAAUGGGUGCAAGCCUGAACCAGCCAUGCCGCGUGCAGGAUGACGGUCCUAUGGAUUGUAAACUGCUUUUGUACAGGAAGAAACAGUUCUACGUGUAGAACCUUGACGGUACUGUAAGAAUAAGGAUCGGCUAACUCCGUGCCAGCAGCCGCGGUAAUACGGAGGAUCCAAGCGUUAUCCGGAAUCAUUGGGUUUAAAGGGUCCGUAGGCGGUUUUGUAAGUCAGUGGUGAAAGCCCAUCGCUCAACGGUGGAACGGCCAUUGAUACUGCAAGACUUGAAUUAUUGGGAAGUAACUAGAAUAUGUAGUGUAGCGGUGAAAUGCUUAGAGAUUACAUGGAAUACCAAUUGCGAAGGCAGGUUACUACCAAUAUAUUGACGCUGAUGGACGAAAGCGUGGGGAGCGAACAGGAUUAGAUACCCUGGUAGUCCACGCCGUANACGAUGGAUACUAGCUGUUCGGAGCAAUCUGAGUGGCUAAGCGAAAGUGAUAAGUAUCCCACCUGGGGAGUACGUUCGCAAGAAU